GAUCAUGGCUCAGGACGAACGCUGGCGGCGUGCUUAACACAUGCAAGUCGGACGAAGAGCGAUGGAAGCUUGCUUCUAUCAAUCUUAGUGGCGAACGGGUGAGUAACGCGUAAUCAACCUGCCCUUCAGAGGGGGACGAACAGUUGGAAACGACUGCUAAUACCGCAUACGAUCCAACCUCGGCAUCGAGGAUGGAUGAAAGGUGGCCUCUAUUUAUAAGCUAUCACUGAAGGAGGGG
rnacentral:rRNA from 1 species